rnacentral:rRNA from 1 species
GAUGAACGCUGGCGGCGUGCCUAAUACAUGCAAGUCGAGCGAACAGACGAGGAGCUUGCUCCUCUGACGUUAGCGGCGGACGGGUGAGUAACACGUGGAUAACCUACCUAUAAGACUGGGAUAACUUCGGGAAACCGGAUCUAAUACCGGAUAAUAUCUUGAACCGCAUGGUUCAAUAGUGAAAGACGGUUUUGCUGUCACUUAUAGCUGGAUCCGCGCCGCAUUAGCUAGUUGGUAAGGUAACGGCUUACCAAGGCGACGAUGCGUAGCCGACCUGAGAGGGUGAUCGGCCACACUGGAACUGAGACACGGUCCAGACUCCUACGGGAGGCAGCAGUAGGGAAUCUUCCGCAAUGGGCGAAAGCCUGACGGAGCAACGCCGCGUGAGUGAUGAAGGUCUUCGGAUCGUAAAACUCUGUUAUUAGGGAAGAACAAAUGUGUAAGUAACUAUGCACGUCUUGACGGUACCUAAUCAGAAAGCCACGGCUAACUACGUG